rnacentral:rRNA from 1 species
GUGGGGAAUAUUGGACAAUGGGGGGAACCCUGAUCCAGCCAUGCCGCGUGUGUGAAGAAGGCCUUUUGGUUGUAAAGCACUUUAAGCGAGGAGGAGGCUACCGAGAUUAAUACUCUUGGUUAGUGGACGUUACUCGCAGAAUAAGCACCGGCUAACUCUGUGCCAGCAGCCGCGGUAAUACAGAGGGUGCAAGCGUUAAUCGGAUUUACUGGGCGUAAAGCGCGCGUAGGUGGCCAAUUAAGUCAAAUGUGAAAUCCCCGAGCUUAACUUGGGAAUUGCAUUCGAUACUGGUUGGCUAGAGUAUGGGAGAGGAUGGUAGAAUUCCAGGUGUAGCGGUGAAAUGCGUAGAGAUCUGGAGGAAUACCGAUGGCGAAGGCAGCCAUCUGGCCUAAUACUGACACUGAGGUGCGAAAGCAUGGGGAGCAAACAGGAUUAGAAACCCUAGUAGUCC